rnacentral:lncRNA from 1 species
CAAAUGGAUGAAACCACAUUUUACCUUAAUGAAGACAGUAAUAUUUAAUAAGGUGUAGAAAAAACAGGUGAGUUGUUUGUUGCUGUGGUAAAUAAAGAAGUGUACUGAGUCUUUUGGACUACACAGAGUGAUGCAGUAUUGACUCUGAUGCUGAUUUGAGUUGUCUCAUUUUGUAUUUUUGUGCUUUGUCUUUUGUUACACAGAGUGAAAGAGAUCUUUGGUUUUGCCUUUGCUGACUGCUGAUCUGAUCGUCUCAAGUCUGGUGACCUGCUGCAGAAAACCCUCUCCCUCUAUCAUUAACAAGCAAUUCAGUCUGUCCUAUCACUCUCCCUCUCCCUGCUCCAUCUUUUUUGACAAGCCAUUCUAUCUUCUAUCAUUUCUCCGCCACGAGCUCUAUCUAAGUUGACAAGCUUGAACCUGAGUUGAAAAGCAAAACAAGUUUGCCUGAAACCAAGUUUGCCUGAAACCAAGUUUGCCUGAAACCCAAGUUUGAGAUAAACCAAGUUUGAGAUAAACCAAGUUUGAGAUAAACCAAGUUUGAGAAGAAACCCAAGUUUUUGGAAUUGAAGUUACCACAACUUCAUCGAUCUGUUUUCAGAAUUCGGAGAGAUCUCCGCUCUCACGGCUCCUUCUUUCCUGUCAUUAAACUUUCAUAUCCACUCAUUUUGCUGGAAAUUACAAGUAAAAAGUUGAAUAUACAGUAGUAGAAUUACAGUACAGUAGAACUCACUGUAGAAACUACUUACAGAGCCCUACAUUUGUCAUUUUAAUUUUGCAUUACACUUUGAAAUAAACACUGAUAGUUUGGCUUACAAGUGCAAUUUGAUAAAUUAUAUAAACUUAUAUACACCUUUUUUUUAGAUAUAUUUGUAGUAAAAUAAUCUGGUUAUUUUGUAAUUCAGACUUAUAUUCACAUAAAUAUUAAAUUUGAUUCAAAUACAUUUUUCAAGUCUGUUUCAUUGGUUAUAACAUUUGACUACAAGUUUAUACUAUUAUUAUUUAAGGACAAAGCCUUUUUUGUCACUCAGUGUAAGUAUUCAAUUACAGUUGUCAUCUAGAGGCUCUCCUGAGAACCCAGACUUCCUGUUUCCUGGCUGCUGCAGAACAUCCAGCUGAACAAUCCCCAUCGCCUGUCAUCUGAUCACCACACCAUCACAGCUCCUUAUAUUUGCUUUAAAUUUUAAAUAUCUGAAAGAUUUACACAGUCUACUUAAAAGCUAAGAUUUUUAUCAAAGCCUGUUGAUUGAUUGUUGAGAUUUAUUCUACAUAUUACUUUACAGAAGUAUAGACCUAUUUGUUAUCCAGUCUGGUUAAAAAAAAAAUAUAAGAAGUAAUAAUAUACAGUUUUUGAAAAAGUUACAAUAAAACAGACCAAAGUGUUUUCAAAGAACUUUAAAUAACUUUUAUAUUGAGUUUGUAUUUAAGUCAGCCUUUUACAUCAAUUCUGAUAAAUCUCU